CUUUAAGAGGAAGCCUGGUGAGAAUCUGAGAUGAUGUUCCUGCAGGGAAUGAGCCCCCAGAAGCAGGAAUCUCACCAAUCCCAAGGUUUCAGGACCAUGACUCAGAUUUCCAACCACAACAGUGAAGUAUGGGCCAGAUUUUGGCAGGAGGAUCCCGAGAAGCUGCUGAGGGGGAGGAUUGUGAAGCAUCCACAGUGCCUGAAACCAGGAGGAGCAGUCCUGCCACUGCCCUGCAUCUCCUGCACCCUGGGCUUUGCCCUGGGUCCACUGCAUGGUCUGGUCUGCCAUGCUGCUCAGCAUGGAUUAAUUCCCCCAUCCUGCUCAGAAAGGCACAGAUUUCCCUGCUAGCUGCAGUUCCCACUCAUUGAUGAUAGAUCCACCAGUGAGAGCCCCAGCCCUUUCCAACUGGUUUGUGUGUCCC
rnacentral:lncRNA from 1 species